rnacentral:rRNA from 1 species
AGCAGUCGCCGCGGGAAUACGUAGGUGGCAAGCGUUGUCCGGAAUUAUUGGGCGUAAAGCGCGCGCAGGUGGGUUAAUAAGUCUGAUGUGAAAGCCCACGGCUCAACCGUGGAGGGUCAUUGGAAACUGUUAAACUUGAGUGCAGGAGAGAAAAGUGGAAUUCCUAGUGUAGCGGUGAAAUGCGUAGAGAUUAGGAGGAACACCAGUGGCGAAGGCGGCUUUUUGGCCUGUAACUGACACUGAGGCGCGAAAGCGUGGGGAGCAAACAGGAUUAGAUACCCGUGUAGUCCCUGUCUCUUAUAA